rnacentral:lncRNA from 1 species
AAAUAAAGUCAGCAUAAUAUACCAAUAAAUACAUGCCUAUGUUUAUAGCAACAUAGUUGACUAUAGCCAAACUAUGGAACCAGCCUAGGUGUCCAUCAACAAAUGAAGUAAAUAUACACAAUGGAGUUCUACUCAGCAAUAAAAAAGAACAAAAUUGUGUCAUUUUUAGGAAAAUAGAUGGAACUAGAGAGCAUCACCGUAUUAAGUGAAAUAAGCCAGACUCAGAAAGUCAGGUGUUAUUUUUUCUCAUAAAUGGAAGCUAGAGAGAAAAAAGAAGUCUCAUGAAAAUAGAAGAGAGCUCAAUAGGAUAAAGGAAGAGGAUCAAUAGGAGGGGAGUACAAGAGAAGGUCCUAGGGAAUGAAAUUGAAAUUGAACCAAUCAUAUGCACAUAUGAAUAUAUAACAGUGAAUUCUCUAUUAUGCGUAGUUAUUAUGCAUCAAUAAUUUUUUUAAAUUACAUUGCAAGACUUCCCUUAUUUACUUAUUUUUAAAUUUUUUGUGGAGAUCCCAGAGCCUUGCACUUGUUAGGCAAGUGCUCAGCCACUGAAUUACAAUAGGAUUAUAUCCCAGUAAAACCAUUGUAAAUUGAGAAUACAUUGUCAAAAAAUGCAUUUAAUGCCUUAAACUACUGAACAUCAUAGCUUGGCAACUCAAGGCAUUGUAGUGUCAGUGAUUUCCCCUUCUGAUCACAUGACUGAACACAAAUCUCUAGCCAAGGAAAAUAUCAAAUUUCAAAACUCCAUAUGUGAUUUCUACUGAAAUCGCAUCCCUUUCACACCAUUUUAAAGCCAUUAAGUAGGUUGGGGACUGACUAGAUUUGUGUACCUGCUACAAUGGAACUACCAUGUGUUGUUUCCUUUUUCACCAGGCCUGACCUUGGAAUUAUUUGCUCUUUCCUGCCUUUCCCACACCUGGGGGGAAGCACAUUAGUGCUUAGGUCAUAUAGUGGCUCCAAAUUCUAGUCUUUUUUUUUUUUUUUUUUAAUUUAUUUAUUUUUCGGUGGACACAACAUCUUUGUUUGUAUGUGGUGCUGAGGAUAGAACCCAGCACAUUAUCUCCUCUUUGCUUCAGGGGUGGGAGCAUCAUGGUUGCGGGCUCCCCUACUCUGUAUUUCUUAGGCUCUGUCUCUAUGUUGGCUUGGAGGUCCUGGACUCACCACAGCUUCCAGAGCAGGUACUCUCCCAGACCAUGUGUCCUCUCUCCCUGACUUCAGGGCAGCAUCAAAGCUCUUGAGUUUGAACUGACCCUGAAAUCCACUAGAUACUGUUGCUUUAAUAUAAUAUUAUGUGUAUUCAUUUCCUAUUGCUGCCAAACCAAUGAUCACAACUUGGUGGCUUAGAACAACAUACAUUUAUUCUCUUAUAUUUCAGGGGUUCAGAAGUCCAAAAUGGGUUUCCCCCCUGGCAAGAUCAAGGUGUUAGCAGAGCUGCACACCCUCUGGAGGCUGUAAGGGAGAAUCCAAUUCCUUGACUUCCAUCUUCUAAAGUUUCAUUCCUUGUUCUGUUAUUGGAAUUAAAGGUCCUUGCUGCUUACAGCUCCACUGAAAACUUGGGGAGACAGAAAUUACAGGAAGAGAAUAGGUUUAUUCAAGAGCGACUCUGAAGAAGAUAGAGACAUUUUUAUCUCAAAUCUUCAUCUCCAGGUGGAAGAAAAGAGGGUAUUUUGAGUCAGUGGGCAGGAAAUUCACAAUGCUAGGUGGGAGUCUUCCUCUUCAAAGUGUACCUUUGUACCUCUGUGGCUCUGUUGACUUUCUCCCUCCUCAGAACAUCAAAAGGAAAUUCAACCUCCUGGGGCCACAUUCUGCAU